rnacentral:rRNA from 1 species
UACGAAGGGGGCUAGCGUUGCUCGGAAUCACUGGGCGUAAAGCGCAUGUAGGCGGCUUUUUAAGUCAGGGGUGAAAUCCUGGAGCUCAACUCCAGAACUGCCUUUGAUACUGAGAAGCUUGAGUCCGGGAGAGGUGAGUGGAACUGCGAGUGUAGAGGUGAAAUUCGUAGAUAUUCGCAAGAACACCAGUGGCGAAGGCGGCUCACUGGCCCGGUACUGACGCUGAGAUGCGAAAGCGUGGGGAGCAAACAGU